rnacentral:rRNA from 1 species
AGAGUUUGAUCAUGGCUCAGAAUGAACGCUGGCGGCGUGCCUAACACAUGCAAGUCGAACGGAAUCCAAGGAGUGCUUGCACUCUGGAAGAUUUAGUGGCGAACGGGUGAGUACCACGUGAGCAAUCUGCCCUGAAGACUGGGAUAACACCGGGAAACCGGUGCUAAUACCGGAUACCUUCAUUGAUCCGCAUGGAUCGAUGAAGAAAUGUUUUUUCGCUUCAGGAGGAGCUCGCGGCCUAUCAGCUAGUUGGCGGGGUAACGGCCCACCAAGGCAACGACGGGUAGCUAGUCUGAGAGGACGAUUAGCCACACUGGAACUGAGACACGGUCCAGACUCCUACGGGAGGCAGCAGUGGGGAAUCUUGCGCAAUGGACGAAAGUCUGACGCAGCAACGCCGCGUGAGGGAUGAAGGCUUUCUGAGUUGUAAACCUCUUUCGACAGGAACGAUAAUGACGGUACCUGUAGAAGAAGCACCGGCCAACUAUGUGCCAGCAGCCGCGGUGAUACAUAGGGCGCAAGCGUUAUUCGGAUUUAUUGGGCGUAAAGAGCUCGUAGGCGGUUCGAUUAGUCGGGUGUGAAAUCUCUGGGCUUAACCCAGAGCGGCCACCCGAAACUGUCGUGACUAGAGUUUGGUAGGGGAUCACGGAAUUCCUGGUGUAGCGGUGGAAUGCGCAGAUAUCAGGAGGAACACCAGCAGCGAAGGCGGUGAUCUGGGCCAAUACUGACGCUGAGGAGCGAAAGCGUGGGGAGCGAACAGGAUUAGAUACCCUGGUAGUCCACGCCGUAAACGGUGGGCACUAGUGUGGGGACUUUUCAACGGUUUCCGCGCCGCAGCUAACGCAUUAAGUGCCCCGCCUGGGGAGUACGGCCGCAAGGCUAAACUCAAGAAUUGACGGGGCCCGCACAGCAGCGGAGCAUGUG